rnacentral:rRNA from 1 species
UACAGAGGUCUCAAGCGUUGUUCGGAUUCAUUGGGCGUAAAGGGUGCGUAGGCGGCGUGGUAAGUCGGCUGUGAAAGUCCAGGGCUCAACCCUGGGAUGCCGGUCGAUACUGCCGGACUAGAGUUCGGAAGAGGCGAGUGGAAUUCCCGGUGUAGCGGUGAAAUGCGCAGAUAUCGGGAGGAACACCAAUGGCGAAGGCGAGUCCCUGGAAAACUCCUGACACUGAGGCACGAAAGCUAGGGGAGCAAACAGG